GCGGAAGUGGCGGAACGGCAGACGCACUAGCUUCAGGAGCUAGCGGGAGAAAUCUCAUCGGGGUUCAAAUCCCCGCUUCCGCACCA
rnacentral:tRNA from 1 species